UUGUUGCGGCGAGCAGAAAUGCACAUGACCGUCAAUGCCGGCGGCCGUAAGAAUCAUGUGUUCUCCCGAAAUGGCAUCGGUGGAAGGUCCCGUAACCAAGUCAGGCGAAACGCCUUCCAUGAUAUUCGGGUUGCCGGCUUUGCCGAUACCGGCAAUCUUACCGUCUUUCACACCGACAUCCGCUUUCACCACUCCUAAAACAGGGUCGAGAAUCGUGACGUUGGUAAUGACAAGGUCAAGGCUUCCGGCAUCUUCGGUGCAAUCGUUGGCGAGCCCCAUGCCGUCGCG
rnacentral:sRNA from 1 species